CAUUGUGACAUUGCACAUUUUUAGUACAACGACGUUUUUAGGUUUGUCUCAAACAUAAGUUUUUGCGCAUGGCAAGGACUUUAAUUGAUCUAGCAACUGAAAUCGAUAUGGAUGACAGGUCUGUAUCCAAUGAGAAUCAUCUGUCAACAAGGGUUGUUGCCAAUAUAGAAAUGUGUAUGAUUUUCAUGAUAUUAAUUAAUUUAGAAUUUACAAUAAAUAUUUGAUUUAUAAAUUAGGAAGUUGCUAGAAUAUGGUUAGAAAAUUAGGUGGAAUUUUACACAUUAGAUAUUUCAGUAAAUAUAAAUUUAUUACAGCAAACGAUUGCUGAGGUUGUCGUUCUAUUUGGUAUCCCCAAGCCUCCCAAGGUCGUGAGGAUUUUGAGAUCAUUUCCUCCUCACUUGUUAGCUGGCUCCGGUACAGGUCGUAGGCCUCCAGUGGCUACUUUAUGAUAUCGCGGAUCAUCUAUGAUGUGAAGCAGGAAACCAAAUUAUGGAGCAGCAAGAGUCCUUUUCUGCAGGGCCUCAAGGGUCCUCAGAAUUGUAUUUUGUCCAUGGACUGUGAGUAGAAUCUUGUUCAAGUAACAUUGAUUUAAUUUCUUUGUGUGAUCUUGGUUUUUGUAAAUCUUGACCAUGUGUCUCCAUUUCCAGUCUCCUGAUGUUAUUAUGUGGCGGGAAGGGAUGUCAGAGCUGGAAGAUAUGAGACUUCUACACUUCCAGCUGCUGACUGGGAUUUAUUUAAUUGAUUUAUCAAUUUAUCGAUUUAUCAGAUUUAAUUUAUUUACGAUUUUAGAUUUUAAAUUUAUUUGGGAUUAAAUUUCGAGCUCUUCAAAAUUGUUCUCAAGAUCUCAAGAUUUGAGUUUCAUUUAGUUUCUUCAAUUUGAAUGUUUCACCCGAAGGGGGUAUCGGUGAAGAGGAUGCUUGCCGCAGGCUGAAGCUUUGGUUGCGGAGGUGCUCUUUUGAAUAAUCGCGCCUGGGGCGACCGCUUUGGCUCACUGAAGGAUGGCUUGCAUGUGCAGCGGUAACUUCUGGCUUGAAGGUUGGUGGCAUUUCUCUUACCUGGAAGCAAAUGCUAAGUUUAGGUAAAUUUUAGUUUCUAUCAUGUAUGUUGGCACUGAUACUUAGGGACUAACCAGUUUUAGGCAAUGCUUGUAAAUCACUCAGAACCAUAUUUGCACGGCCCAGCUCUAUCGUCUGGCAAUGCUAUUUUAGUUAAGGUGCUAAGCUCAAGCCUUUAUUGCUGAUUUACAAGUUGUACUUUGCAUUGUGUCCAUUUAGAGAAAUAAAACUGUGUGUCACAA